GAGUCGAGUUGUUUGGGAAUGCAGCUCUAAAUGGGUGGUAAAUUUCAUCUAAAGCUAAAUAUUGGCCGGAGACCGAUAGCGCACAAGUAGAGUGAUCGAAAGAUGAAAAGCACUUUGAAAAGAGAGUUAAAAAGCACGUGAAAUUGUUGAAAGGGAAGCGCUUGCGAUCAGACUCGCCUUGGGGGUUCAGCCGGCAUUCGUGCCGGUGUACUUCCCCCAGGGCGGGCCAGCGUCGGUUUGGGUGGCCGGUCAAAGGCCCUUGGAAUGUAACGCCUCUCGGGGCGUCUUAUAGCCAAGGGUGCCAUGCGGCCUACCUGGACCGAGGAACGCGCUUCGGCUCGGACGCUGGCAUAAUGGUCGUAAGCGACC
rnacentral:rRNA from 1 species